ACCCUCUUAACUCAGUUGGUUAGAGUACCUAGCUUUUAACUAGGGAGUCACAGGUUCGAGUCCUGUAGGGGGUA
rnacentral:tRNA from 1 species